rnacentral:rRNA from 1 species
AGUGAACGCUGGCGGUAGGCCUAACACAUGCAAGUCGAACGGCAGCACAGUAAGAGCUUGCUCUUACGGGUGGCGAGUGGCGGACGGGUGAGGAAUACAUCGGAAUCUACUUUUUCGUGGGGGAUAACGUAGGGAAACUUACGCUAAUACCGCAUACGACCUACGGGUGAAAGCAGGGGAUCUUCGGACCUUGCGCGGUUGAAUGAGCCGAUGUCGGAUUAGCUAGUUGGCGGGGUAAAGGCCCACCAAGGCGACGAUCCGUAGCUGGUCUGAGAGGAUGAUCAGCCACACUGGAACUGAGACACGGUCCAGACUCCUACGGGAGGCAGCAGUGGGGAAUAUUGGACAGUGGGCGCAAGCCUGAUCCAGCCAUACCGCGUGGGUGAAGAAGGCCUUCGGGUUGUAAAGCCCUUUUGUUGGGAAAGAAAAGCAGCAGGUUAAUACCCCGCUGUUCUGACGGUACCCAAAGAAUAAGCACCGGCUAACUUCGUG